UGCAAGACUACUGAGGUACUGCUUAUCCACCUAAAAAUUAACUGUCUUCAAAACAUAUUUCUUGUCUUUAUUGUAUUGCUGUAAAAAUUCACUUGUAACUCCUGAAUUAUUCAUUUCUAGAUCUUUUGGCUAAGGAGGUAAUAAAUCUUAACACUGGUAAAAACAAUUGUAGCAUACACCACAGGAAUUUUCAACUUUGUGAUUAAAUGGACUGUUUUCUUGUUUUCCUUCCUCUGUUUACCGAUCAUUUAUCUCUUGCACUGCAGCUUCCUUUGCAAGAUGACACAAACAAUAUUGUACUUAGCUUUGCUGUUCUAGAACGUGGGGAAUAAAAGGCUUACAGCGAGCACAGCUUGCAGCAGGUCAGUUCAGAGGAGCCAGAUGUACUGGUCUUGGAGACUGCCUGCAAAGCACAAGCAGCACAGCCCUGGGCAGCGAGUGCACUGACACUGCCUGAAUGCCCCCUCUGCCUCCGAGACCACACCGAGAACCUCGGUUAUCUGAACACCACACCUGGUUAGGGCUAAGCAAAUACAGCUGGCUUGGAAACAAGGUUGUUUUGUGGUUACAGAGUAAGUUUUCCAUCAACGUCAAAUCUCUUGGCUCUGCUGCAAAUCCUGGUGAUUUCCAGUAUAACAUGAACUCGUUUUCCAAAGUAGUAGCAAUGCCUAGAUUUACAGUAACAGAAAGUUUAGUUUGUAUCAAGAAUUCAAACACAACCCAAGGAAUUAAUUUAUAUACACAACAUGGAAACAGAGGUUCAGACACUGUCAUUUGGUGCAGUGAUCUCCUAAUUAUAUCACUGAGAGCUUUUUGAAGUAACAGUACCAGCUUACUGCCUUCAGGGAGCAAGAGACUGACAGUUAAAGGAAUGUUAAGACCUCAGUUCGUACCUCUCAUUCUGUAAGCAGCAUAAUUCUCUUUGAAGCAGCUGCAGGAUACCUGCAUGAAGGAGAGGUCACUAUAAAGGAAGAUGAAGCCCUCGUUCAAACAGAAGAGUGGUGAGACGUGCUAUUAUUAAGCCACAGCUAAAUACAGCCCAGGACUUGCUGCUACAGUUUGAUAUCCUCAAAAAUCAAACUUAUUUGUCCUUCCUGUUCAUGAAAUAGUACCUCAAGGGCUGUGUCUAUCUCACCUAACUUUCAGCGAAGUCAGUGAGCUAGAAACCUGUUCAGUCUCAUCUCCAUCUGCAUGUAACAACACAGGACAGAUACAGAAAGCAAGUCAGCCUCCACGUGGAUUUUCUCCCUCUACUACUACUACAAAGGCAUUUAUUACCUGAUUGUUUAUCCUUUAAAGCUGUUUUACACAUCUCAAUGCGGGCAGAGUGAUAAGGAACGUAACGAUCCUGCAGAGAUCCUACUAACACAAUGUUUUUGAAGUAAUGAAGGCCUGCAAGAAAAAAGUCUCCCCGAGCCUUUCCUUCUCCCUUACACCCACCUCACUGAAGGACCUGGAAACAAGAUCGUGUAGCUGAGGCUGUGGCCCAAAAUACAGCUCUUUCCAUCUCUUUGGUAAGAAAGAAAAAAGCAGAAACUGAGCCUGAAGACUUUUAUAUCCCUUCUACCAUUUAUGGGGAACAAAGUCUGAAAUGCACAUAAUGACUCUUGAGACGAUACUAUC